UACAGAGGUGCCAAGCGUUAGGCGGAAUCACUGGGCUUAAAGCGCACGUAGGCGGAUCUUUAAGUCAGGGGUGAAAUCCCAAGGCUCAACCUUGGAACUGCCUUUGAUACUGGGGAUCUCGAGUCCGGAAGAGGUUGGUGGAACUGCGAGUGUAGAGGUGAAAUUCGUAGAUAUUAGGAAGAACACCGGUGGCGAAGGCGGCGACCUGGGUCGAGACUGACGCUGAGGCGCGAAAGCGUGGGGAGCAAACAGG
rnacentral:rRNA from 1 species